UACAGAGGGGGCAAGCGUUGUUCGGAAUUACUGGGCGUAAAGGGCUCGUAGGUGGCCAACUAAGUCAGACGUGAAAUCCCCAGGCUCAACUUGGGAACUGCGUCUGAUACUGGAUGGCUUGAAUUCGGGAGAGGGAUGCAGAAUUCCAGGUGUAGCGGUGAAAUGCGUAGAUAUCUGGAGGAAUACCGGUGGCGAAGGCGGCAUCCUGGACCGAGAUUGACACUGAGGAGCGAAAGCCAGGGGAGCAAACGGG
rnacentral:rRNA from 1 species